rnacentral:rRNA from 1 species
UACGAAGGGGGCUAGCGUUGCUCGGAAUCACUGGGCGUAAAGCGCACGUAGGCGGAUCUUUAAGUCAGGGGUGAAAUCCUGGAGCUCAACUCCAGAACUGCCUUUGAUACUGGGGAUCUCGAGUCCGGAAGAGGUGAGUGGAACUCCGAGUGUAGAGGUGAAAUUCGUAGAUAUUCGGAAGAACACCAGUGGCGAAGGCGACUCGCUGGACAGACAUUGACGCUGAGGUGCGAAAGCGUGGGGAGCAAACAGG